GAUGAACGCUGGCGGCGUGCUUAACACAUGCAAGUCGAACGAAGCUGCUAAAAGAAAGUCUUCGGACGGGAUUUUAGUAGACUUAGUGGCGGACGGGUGAGUAACGCGUGGAUAACCUGCCUUAUACAGGGGGAUAACGGAGAGAAAUUUCCGCUAAGACCGCAUAAGACCACAGCACCGCAUGGUGCAGGGGUAAAAUAUUUAUAGGUAUAAGAUGGAUCCGCGUCCGAUUAGCUAGUUGGUGAGGUAGAGGCUCACCAAGGCGACGAUCGGUAGCCGGCCUGAGAGGGUGAACGGCCACAUUGGGACUGAGACACGGCCCAAACUCCUACGGGAGGCAGCAGCGGGGAAUAUUGGACAAUGGGGGAAACCCUGAUCCAGCGACGCCGCGUGAGUGAAGAAGUAUUUCGGUAUGUAAAGCUCUAUCAGCAGGGAAGAAAAUGACGGUACCUGACUAAGAAGCCCCGGCUAACUACGUGCCAGCAGCCGCGGUAAUACGUAGGGGGCAAGCGUUAUCCGGAUUUACUGGGUGUAAAGGGAGCGCAGACGGCGAAGCAAGUCUGAAGUGAAAUGCAUGGGCUCAACCCAUGAAUUGCUUUGGAAACUGUUUGGCUUGAGUGUCGGAGGGGUAAGCGGAAUUCCUAGUGUAGCGGUGAAAUGCGUAGAUAUUAGGAGGAACACCGGAGGCGAAGGCGGCUUACUGGACGACAACUGACGUUGAGGCUCGAAGGCGUGGGGAGCAAACAGG
rnacentral:rRNA from 1 species